rnacentral:rRNA from 1 species
GAUGAACGCUGGCGGCGUGCCUAAUACAUGCAAGUCGAGCGAACGGACGAGAAGCUUGCUUUUCUGAUGUUAGCGGCGGACGGGUGAGUAACACGUGGAUAACCUACCUAUAAGACUGGGAUAACUUCGGGAAACCGGAGCUAAUACCGGAUAAUAUUUUGAACGGCAUGGUUCAAAAGUGAAUGACGGCUUUGCUGUCACUUAUAGAUGGAUCCGCGCUGCAUUAGCUAGUUGGUAAGGUAACGGCUUACCAAGGCAACGAUGCAUAGCCGACCUGAGAGGAUGAUCGGCCACACUGGAACUGAGACACGGUCCAGACUCCUACGGGAGGCAGCAGUAGGGAAUCUUCCGCAAUGGGCGAAAGCCUGACGGAGCAACGCCGCGUGAGUGAUGAAGGUCUUCGGAUCGUAAAACUCUGUUAUUAGGGAAGAACAUAUGUGUAAGUAACUGUGCACAUCUUGACGGUACCUAAUCAGAAAGCCACGGCUAACUACGUG